UACGUAGGGUGCGAGCGUUGUCCGGAAUUAUUGGGCGUAAAGGGCUCGUAGGCGGUUUGUCACGUCGGGAGUGAAAACUCGGGGCUUAACUCCGAGCCUGCUUCCGAUACGGGCUGACUAGAGUUCGGUAGGGGAGACUGGAAUUCCUGGUGUAGCGGUGAAAUGCGCAGAUAUCAGGAGGAACACCGGUGGCGAAGGCGGGUCUCUGGGCCGAUACUGACGCUGAGGAGCGAAAGCGUGGGGAGCGAACAGG
rnacentral:rRNA from 1 species